UGCAGAGAGGCUUAAAAGAGAGGGGGCUAAAUAUUGAAAUUACAGUACCUCCAUAUCCCUUCCCAAACAUGCUGCAGGAGAGGGGGUAACUGCAGGGGUUAAAGCAUGGAUUUCAAGGUCAAUGUAUUGCAUGUUAUGUACCUGGUAAUAUGGAGUAAUGAGCUAGUAAAUAUAUCCUUGCCUAUACUUAGUUGCUGAUUAAAUGUUCAAAGAUACACAGUGUGAAGCAUGAAAAACAAAUAGGAGAUACAGGUGUACCCACUGAAACAAACUUUCAACAAAUAUGUAUGGCAUUGUUCACUUCAUUUCUUACUUUCGAC